rnacentral:rRNA from 1 species
AUUGAACGCUGGCGGCAGGCUUAACACAUGCAAGUCGAACGAGCGGCGGACGGGUGAGUAAUGUCUGGGAAACUGCCUGAUGGAGGGGGAUAACUACUGGAAACGGUAGCUAAUACCGCAUACCAUCAGAUGUGCCCAGAUGGGAUUAGCUAGUAGGUGGGGUAAUGGCUCACCUGGGCGACGAUCCCUAGCUGGUCUGAGAGGAUGACCAGCAAGACGGGAAAGGAGACACGGUCCAGACUCCUACGGGAGGCAGCAGUGGGGAAUAUUGCACAAUGGGCGCAAGCCGGAUGCAGCCAUGCCGCGUGUGGGAAGAAGGCCUUCGGGUUGUAAAGGACUUUCAGCGAGGAGGCGUUACUCGCAGAAGAAGCACCGGCUAACUCCGUGCCAGCAGCCGCGGUAAUUC